GAGAGAGGAAAGCGGCGGAUCCGCGAGGACCUCGCGCGAGAGGAGCGGCCGAUSUCCGAUUAGCUAGUUGGUAGGGUAACGGCCUACCAAGGCGACGAUCGGUANCUGGUCUGAGAGGACGGCCAGCCACACUGGGAUUGAGACACGGCCCAGACUCCUACGGGAGGCAGCAGUGGGGAAUUUUGGACAAUGGGCGCAAGCCUGAUCCAGCCAUGCCGCGUGUGUGAAGAAGGCCUUCGGGUUGUAAAGCACUUUCGGGCGGAACGAAAUCGCGCGGGCGAAUACCCCGCGUGGAUGACGGUACCGCAAGAAGAAGCACCGGCUAACUACGUG
rnacentral:rRNA from 1 species